rnacentral:tRNA from 1 species
CCCCUGGCGGCCCAGUGGCUAGGACUCUGCACUCCCAAUACAAGUGGGCCUGGGUUUGAUUCCCGGUCAGGGGA